UGAGUCGGUCGGUCGACCGCGGUGUUGCGGUGUUCGCAUUGCAACAUUGAGGAAAGUCGGGACUUCACAGGACAAAGUGCUGGCGAGAGCCAGGUUGGGGAAACCUGACAUUACGUGCAACAGAAAACAAACCGCCGAUGGAAGCGUCGCAAGACUCUUCACAGGUAAGGAUGAAACGGUGCGGUAAGAGCGC
rnacentral:RNase_P_RNA from 1 species